CAGUAGCCACGGGAAUACGGAGGGAGCUAGCGUUGUUCGGAAUUACUGGGCGUAGAGCGCGCGUAGGCGGUUACUCAAGUCAGAGGUGAAAGCCCGGGGCUCAACCCCGGAACUGCCUUUGAAACUAGGUGACUAGAAUCUUGGAGAGGUCAGUGGAAUUCCGAGUGUAGAGGUGAAAUUCGUAGAUAUUCGGAAGAACACCAGUGGCGAAGGCGACUGACUGGACAAGUAUUGACGCUGAGGUGCGAAAGCGUGGGGAGCAAACAGGAUUAGAUACCCCCGUAGUCCCUGUCUCUUAUAC
rnacentral:rRNA from 1 species